rnacentral:rRNA from 1 species
AGAGUUUGAUCCUGGCUCAGAUUGAACGCUGGCGGCAUGCCUAACACAUGCAAGUCGAACGGGUUGUACUUCGGUACAGCUAGUGGCGGACGGGUGAGUAACACAUAGGAAUCUGCCCGAGAGUGGGGGAUAACCCAGGGAAACUUGGAUUAAUACCGCAUGAUCUCUACGGAGCAAAGCUGGGGACCUUCGGGCCUGGCGCUUUUGGAGGAGCCUAUGUCUGAUUAGCUUGUUGGUGAGGUAACGGCUCACCAAGGCGACGAUCAGUAACUGGUCUGAGAGGACGACCAGUCACACCGGAACUGAGACACGGUCCGGACUCCUACGGGAGGCAGCAGUGGGGAAUAUUGGACAAUGGGCGAAAGCCUGAUCCAGCAAUGCCGCGUGUGUGAAGAAGGCCUUCGGGUUGUAAAGCACUUUAGGAUGGAAAGAAAAAACUUCAGUUAAUAGCUGAAGUCUUGACGGUACCAUCAGAAUAAGCACCGGCUAACUCUGUGCCAGCAGCCGCGGUAAUACAGAGGGUGCAAGCGUUAAUCGGAUUUACUGGGCGUAAAGCGUGUGUAGGUGGUGGCGUAAGUCGAUUGUGAAAUCCCCGGGCUCAACCUGGGAACUGCUUUCGAUACUGCGUCACUAGAGUACGGUAGAGGGUGGUGGAAUUUCCGGUGUAGCGGUGAAAUGCGUAGAUAUCGGAAGGAACAUCAAUGGCGAAAGGCAACCACCUGGGCCUGUACUAACACUGAGACACGAAAGCGUGGGGAUCAAACAGGAUUAGAUACCCUGGUAGUCCACGCCGUAAACGAUGACAACUUGACGUUGGUUUGCUUAGCGAAUCAGUG